rnacentral:lncRNA from 1 species
CGAGAACACCAAUAAACUCGUCAGCAACAUAGACACACAUAUAUAUUCAUGUCAUGUAUACGAUAAUAUAUACAUAUGUAGGUAACAGAGUACCAUGACAUUCACCUAAAGAAGCGAACUUUCUGAGGUAUAGAGACACCCAGUUGCUCAAAUAUUGAAACAAUGAUGUCUUAUAUACUCAUCUUACGUAUAUGAUACUUAAUUAUGUACAUAUACUGGUAGCAAAGUACCAUGAAAUUCACCUAAAGAAUCGAACUUUCUGAGGUAUGGAGACACCCAGAUGCUCAGAUAUUGAAACAAUAGCGUCUUAUAUACUCAUCCUACGUAUAUAAUACUUAAAUAUAUACAUGUAUAUAGGUAGCAAAGUACCAUGAAAUUCACCUAAAGAAGCGAACUUUCUGAGGCAUGGAGACACCCAGUUGCUCAGAUAUUGAAACAAUGGCGUCUUUGAGGGUAAUACUGUUGAUAACAUUGUUGGGGAAAUACUUGGUGUACUGAAGUGAAAGUGAAGCGUCACAAACCACCAGCUCCCACAUCUUCUUCCCUCUGGCAU